rnacentral:rRNA from 1 species
UGGAUCCAGACUUUGAUUCUGGCUCAGGAUGAACGCUAGCGGCAGGCUUAACACAUGCAAGUCGAGGGGCAGCAUAAUGGAUAGCAAUAUCUAUGGUGGCGACCGGCGCACGGGUGCGUAACGCGUAUGCAACCUACCUUUAACAGGGGGAUAACACUGAGAAAUUGGUACUAAUACCCCAUAAUAUCAUAGAAGGCAUCUUUUAUGGUUGAAAAUUCCGAUGGUUAGAGAUGGGCAUGCGUUGUAUUAGCUAGUUGGUGGGGUAACGGCUCACCAAGGCGACGAUACAUAGGGGGACUGAGAGGUUAACCCCCCACACUGGUACUGAGACACGGACCAGACUCCUACGGGAGGCAGCAGUGAGGAAUAUUGGUCAAUGGACGCAAGUCUGAACCAGCCAUGCCGCGUGCAGGAUGACGGCUCUAUGAGUUGUAAACUGCUUUUGUACGAGGGUAAACGCAGAUACGUGUAUCUGUCUGAAAGUAUCGUACGAAUAAGGAUCGGCUAACUCCGUGCCAGCAGCCGCGGUAAUACGGAGGAUUCAAGCGUUAUCCGGAUUUAUUGGGUUUAAAGGGUGCGUAGGCGGUUUGAUAAGUUAGAGGUGAAAUUUCGGGGCUCAACCCUGAACGUGCCUCUAAUACUGUUGAGCUAGAGAGUAGUUGCGGUAGGCGGAAUGUAUGGUGUAGCGGUGAAAUGCUUAGAGAUCAUACAGAACACCGAUUGCGAAGGCAGCUUACCAAACUAUAUCUGACGUUGAGGCACGAAAGCGUGGGGAGCAAACAGGAUUAGAUACCCUGGUAGUCCACGCAGUAAACGAUGAUAACUCGUUGUCGGCGAUACACAGUCGGUGACUAAGCGAAAGCGAUAAGUUAUCCACCUGGGGAGUACGUUCGCAAGAAUGCAACUCAAAUGAAUUGACGGAA